CAUGCAAGUCGAACGCGUUGGCCCAAUUGAUUGAUGGUGCUUGCACCUGAUUGAUUUUGGUCGCCAACGAGUGGCGGACGGGUGAGUAACACGUAGGUAACCUGCCCAGAAGCGGGGGACAACAUUUGGAAACAGAUGCUAAUACCGCAUAACAGCGUUGUUCGCAUGAACAACGCUUAAAAGAUGGCUUCUCGCUAUCACUUCUGGAUGGACCUGCGGUGCAUUAGCUUGUUGGUGGGGUAACGGCCUACCAAGGCGAUGAUGCAUAGCCGAGUUGAGAGACUGAUCGGCCACAAUGGGACUGAGACACGGCCCAUACUCCUACGGGAGGCAGCAGUAGGGAAUCUUCCACAAUGGGCGCAAGCCUGAUGGAGCAACACCGCGUGAGUGAAGAAGGGUUUCGGCUCGUAAAGCUCUGUUGUUAAAGAAGAACACGUAUGAGAGUAACUGUUCAUACGUUGACGGUAUUUAACCAGAAAGUCACGGCUAACUACGUGCCAGCAGCCGCGGUAAUACGUAGGUGGCAAGCGUUAUCCGGAUUUAUUGGGCGUAAAGAGAGUGCAGGCGGUUUUCUAAGUCUGAUGUGAAAGCCUUCGGCUUAACCGGAGAAGUGCAUCGGAAACUGGAUAACUUGAGUGCAGAAGAGGGUAGUGGAACUCCAUGUGUAGCGGUGGAAUGCGUAGAUAUAUGGAAGAACACCAGUGGCGAAGGCGGCUACCUGGUCUGCAACUGACGCUGAGACUCGAAAGCAUGGGUAGCGAACAGGAUUAGAUACCCUGGUAGUCCAUGCCGUAAACGAUGAGUGCUAGGUGUUGGAGGGUUUCCGCCCUUCAGUGCCGGAGCUAACGCAUUAAGCACUCCGCCUGGGGAGUACGACCGCAAGGUUGAAACUCAAAGGAAUUGACGGGGGCCCGCACAAGCGGUGGAGCAUGUGGUUUAAUUCGAAGCUACGCGAAGAACCUUACCAGGUCUUGACAUCUUGCGCCAACCCUAGAGAUAGGGCGUUUCCUUCGGGAACGCAAUGACAGGUGGUGCAUGGUCGUCGUCAGCUCGUGUCGUGAGAUGUUGGGUUAAGUCCCGCAACGAGCGCAACCCUUGUUACUAGUUGCCAGCAUUAAGUUGGGCACUCUAGUGAGACUGCCGGUGACAAACCGGAGGAAGGUGGGGACGACGUCAGAUCAUCAUGCCCCUUAUGACCUGGGCUACACACGUGCUACAAUGGACGGUACAACGAGUCGCGAACUCGCGAGGGCAAGCAAAUCUCUUAAAACCGUUCUCAGUUCGGACUGCAGGCUGCAACUCGCCUGCACGAAGUCGGAAUCGCUAGUAAUCGCGGAUCAGCAUGCCGCGGUGAAUACGUUCCCGGGCCUUGUACACACCGCCCGUCACACCAUGAGAGUUUGUAACACCCAAAGUC
rnacentral:rRNA from 1 species